rnacentral:rRNA from 1 species
CCCUUAGAUGUUCUGGGCCGCACGCGCGCUACACUGACGAAUGCAACGAGCUUAUAACAUUGGCCGAAAGGUCUGGGUAAUCUCCAAAUUUCGUCGUGAUGGGGAUAGAUUAUUGCAAUUAUUAAUCUUCAACGAGGAAUGCCUAGUAAGCGCAAGUCAUCAGCUUGCGUUGAUUACGUCCCUGCCCUUUGUACACACCGCCCGUCGCUCCUACCGAUUGAAUGGUCCGGUGAAGCGUUCGGACCGUGGCCUUUGGACGGUUCGCCGUCUGUUGGCUGCGGGAAGUUCGUUAAACCUUAUCAUUUAGAGGAAGGAGAAGUCGUAACA